CCUACGGGAGGCAGCAGUGAGGAAUAUUGGUCAAUGGACGCAAGUCUGAACCAGCCAUGCCGCGUGCAGGAAGACGGCUCUAUGAGUUGUAAACUGCUUUUGUACGAGGGUAAAUCCCGAUACGUGUAUCGGGUUGAAAGUAUCGUACGAAUAAGGAUCGGCUAACUCCGUGCCAGCACCCGCGGUAAUACGGAGGAUUCAAGCGUUAUCCGGAUUUAUUGGGUGUAAAGGGUGCGUAGGCGGUGCGAUAAGUUAGAGGUGAAAGCCCGGGGCUCAACUCCGGCACUGCCUCUGAUACUGUCGGGCUAGAGUUUAGUUGCGGUAGGCGGAAUGUAUGGUGUAGCGGUGAAAUGCAUAGAGAUCAUACAGAACACCGAUUGCGAAGGCAGCUUACCAAACUACGACUGACGUUGAGGCACGAAAGCGUGGGGAGCAAACAGGAUUAGAUACCCCAGUAGUC
rnacentral:rRNA from 1 species